rnacentral:rRNA from 1 species
AACAGGAUUAGAUACCCUGGUAGUCCACGCCCUAAACGAUGUCGACUAGUUGUUCGGAAAGGUGACUUUCUGAGUAACGUAGCUAACGCGUGAAGUCGACCGCCUGGGGAGUACGGUCGCAAGAUUAAAACUCAAAGGAAUUGACGGGGACCCGCACAAGCGGUGGAUGAUGUGGAUUAAUUCGAUGCAACGCGAAAAACCUUACCUACCCUUGACAUGCCAGGAAGGCCGCAGAGAUGUGGCUGUGCCUUCGGGAACCUGGACACAGGUGCUGCAUGGCUGUCGCCAGCUCGUGUCGUGAGAUGUUGGGUUAAGUCCCGCAACGAGCGCAACCCUUAUCUUCAGUUGCUACGCAAGGGCACUCUGAAGAGACUGCCGGUGACAAACCGGAGGAAGGUGGGGAUGACGUCAAGUCCUCAUGGCCCUUAUGGGUAGGGCUUCACACGUCAUACAAUGGUCGGUACAGAGGGUUGCCAAGCCGCGAGGUGGAGCCAAUCCCAGAAAGCCGAUCGUAGUCCGGAUUGUUGUCUGCAACUCGAGAGCAUGAAGUCGGAAUCGCUAGUAAUCGCGGAUCAGCAUGCCGCGGUGAAUACGUUCCCGGGUCUUGUACACACCGCCCGUCACACCAUGGGAGUGGGUUUCACCAGAAGCAGUUAGCCUAACCGCAAGGGGGGCGCUUACCACGGUGGGAUUCAUGACUGGGGUGAAGUCGUAACAAGGUAACC